CUGAGAUCAUGACCUGACCUGAAGGCAGAGGCUUAACCCACUGACCCACCCAGGUGCCCAGUGAUCUAAAAUUUUUUGACAACAUGUCUUGGGAAAGAAAGAGCCCGUGAGUAGGAAGAGGGGCAGAGGG